rnacentral:rRNA from 1 species
UACGGGGGGGGCAAGCGUUGUUCGGAAUUACUGGGCGUAAAGGGCGCGUAGGCGGUUUGGACAGUCAGGCGUGAAAUUCCUGGGCUUAACCUGGGGGCUGCGCUUGAUACAUCCAGACUUGAGUGGGGAAGAGGGUCGUGGAAUUCCCAGUGUAGAGGUGAAAUUCGUAGAUAUUGGGAAGAACACCGGUGGCGAAGGCGGCGACCUGGUCCUUGACUGACGCUGAGGCGCGAAAGCGUGGGGAGCAAACAGG